AAAUUGAAGAGUUUGAUCAUGGCUCAGAUUGAACGCUGGCGGCAGGCCUAACACAUGCAAGUCGAACGGUAACAGGAAACAGCUUGCUGUUUCGCUGACGAGUGGCGGACGGGUGAGUAAUGUCUGGGAAACUGCCUGAUGGAGGGGGAUAACUACUGGAAACGGUAGCUAAUACCGCAUAACGUCGCAAGACC
rnacentral:rRNA from 2 species